rnacentral:rRNA from 1 species
UAACUUCGGGAAACCGGAGCUAAUACCGGAUAAUAUUUUGAACCGCAUGGUUCAAAAGUGAAAGACGGUCUUGCUGUCACUUAUAGAUGGAUCCGCGCUGCAUUAGCUAGUUGGUAAGGUAACGGCUUACCAAGGCAACGAUGCAUAGCCGACCUGAGAGGGUGAUCGGCCACACUGGAACUGAGACACGGUCCAGACUCCUACGGGAGGCAGCAGUAGGGAAUCUUCCGCAAUGGGCGAAAGCCUGACGGAGCAACGCCGCGUGAGUGAUGAAGGUCUUCGGAUCGUAAAACUCUGUUAUUAGGGAAGAACAUAUGUGUA